rnacentral:rRNA from 1 species
GCUGCUCGGCGCGCCUUACCUUGGAACGGCCUACCCUGUAGCGCCUUACCCUGGAACGGCUUACCCUGCAACGGCUGCCGGUGGACUACCAAACUCUUGUUAUUUUAUGGUUAUCUGAGCGUCUUAUUUUAAUAAGUCAAAACUUUCAACAACGGAUCUCUUGGUUCUGGCAUCGAUGAAGAACGCAGCGAAAUGCGAUAAGUAAUGUGAAUUGCAGAAUUCAGUGAAUCAUCGAAUCUUUGAACGCACAUUGCGCCCAUUAGUAUUCUAGUGGGCAUGCCUGUUCGAGCGUCAUUUCAACCCUUAAGCCUAGCUUAGUGUUGGGAGCCUACUGCUUUUGCUAGCUGUAGCUCCUGAAAUACAACGGCGGAUCUGCGAUAUCCUCUGAGCGUAGUAAUUUUUAUCUCGCUUUUGACUGGAGUUGCAGCGUCUUUAGCCGCUAAACCCCCCAAUUUUUAAUGGUUGACCUCGGAUCAGGUAGGAAUACCCGCUGAACUUAA